rnacentral:rRNA from 1 species
CACUCUAAGCGGUGGAUCACUCGGCUCAUGGGUCGAUGAAGAACGCAGCAAACUGUGCGUCAUCGUGUGAACUGCAGGACACAUGAACAUCGACAUUUUGAACGCAUAUCGCAGUCCAUGCUGUUAUGGU